CUACCUUCACUUACUUGGAGGAGUAUUUGGUCAACAAAAAAUGUUUGAUGGACGGAUUAUGCUGGAGGGUCAGUGUAGGAGACCAUAUAUCAAUAUGGAAUGAUCGUUGGAUAUCGGGAGUGACUAAAGACAAAUUACAGGACAACAAAAGUAGUGAAGGUAUCAGAGUAGUGUCUGACUUAAUCAACAAAGAAAGUAGAACAUGGAACAGAGAUUUGAUUGUCUGUACCUUUAAUACGGAUAUUGCGAAGAAGAUAAUGCAGAUUCCGCUUUCAAAGUCAAACUACGAAGACGUUCAAGUCUGGAGAGGGGAGGCGACUGGAGCCUUCUCAGUAAGAAGCGCCUAUAAACUAUUACAGGAGUCUACAAUAGAUCCUAAUUCUUAUUUAUAGACCCAUACUAAAAAUUUUUACAGGAAAUUAUGGAAUCUAAAUAUAACUUCAAAAUUUAAAAUUACAGUAUGGAAAAUAGCGUGGAAUUACAUCCCCACUUUCUCCAAUCUAAAGCUGGAAAGAGUAAUGACAGAGGACCGCUGUUUGAGAUGUGGCCAGGGAGUUGAAGAUAGCACCCAUGUCUUUCAACGGUGCCCUAUAGUAAAAGAAAUAUGGAGUCAUUUGAGUUUUUCCUAGGUACUUAACAAAAGUAAUUUAGAUCUCUGGAGUAGGCUUACCUGGGUUUUCAGCGAAGGAACAAACGAACAAUGCAGGGGAUUUUGUUACGGGCUAUGGUUAAUCUGGACAAGCAGAAAUAAGUUACUUUACGAAGGUAAUUCCAGUCCAGUUGGAAUAUAUCCAAGCAAAUCAAAAGCUAUAUUCUAGAGUUGGAAGGUAUUCAAUAAAGGGAACUCACUUUGGUAACCAGUAUAAGGUCUAGUCAGAGGCUACAAAGAGUGAAUACGACCAUCUUUUUCGAUGCGGCAUUUGACUCACAGAAUAACAGAUCUGCGUCAGGUCUUAUUGUUAAGGAGGAGGAGGGUAGAAUCGUGGUAGCAAAGUCGAUCAUUCAUGAAAAUGUUGCAUCUCCGUUUGCAGCGGAAGCAUAUGCAGGAUAUCAAGCAACAAGGUUAGGGAUUCAGUUGGCAUAUCAUACCUUAGACAUAAUAGGAGAUUCAAAAACAGUAAUAACAAAAUGUCAAAGUGAAAAUCGAGACAGAUCAGAAAUAGGAGCAAUCAUUAGUGACAUUCAAAGCUUAAAAGAUUUCUUUCAAAAAGUCAGAUUCUACUUCAAACCAAGGAAUGAAAAUAUAGAAGCACACAGAUUAGCAAAAUGAGCACUCAAGAAGGGAGAGGAACAACACCUGGAAGGAGAGACCUUAAGAGCGUUUUGCGAAGAAUUGGAACCAAAGCGUCUGGGUUGUUCAGAGUAAAAGGAAAUGAAAGGGCAUAAGAUUUUGAUUUUCGGCAUUAGGGAGUGACGAUUGAAAUGAAAGAAGAUAUGCCGGUUGUAAAAGCAAUCAGAUAAGUAAAAGAUUUGAGGCGUUUUGCUUUUAAUUUCCAAUGGUCUUGAGCAGAGGAAAAGUCAGAAUAAUUAAUGAAGACAACUGGACCGUUCGGUUGGAGUUUUUGAAAUUUUAAUUUCAUUCUUUUUUUGCUUUGGUGGGUUAAAUUAAUGUAAGUUUGCCUCUUGAUGUUUUUUAUUUUCCUUGAAUUCAUUUGUUGGGUUCAGCCC
rnacentral:lncRNA from 1 species